GUCCAGCAUGUCACCAACCCUUCUGAAUUAGACGAAGUCAUUGUUGAUGAAGGAGAUCACAACCUCCGUCCUUCAAGACCUCAAGCCUCGUCUUUGGCUCGUUCUUGGACUGGCAGAGCAAGUGCACCAUGGCGGGAGGCACUCAAUCCUAUGCUGGUGGUGAAAUGGCUGCUGGAGUGGCUGCUACAUACACUCAUUGGAAAGCUGGUGUAUCAUUGCCUACCGUGGCUCCCGAAUUUGCAGCAAGAUGCAUUAGUUCACGUUCUGAAUUUUUUCGUUUCAAAGUUAAUCCACUGGCUUAUUCCAUGAUCCAGUAGUGUGAGGGUCAGCCUUCGCUACCUCACCCCAAUUCUUUGGAUCAAUUCACAAGGGUUCGAGUGAUGUGAAUUACAUUUUCUUUUUGGUUUUUCUGGGGUUUUUUGUCACUGUCAUCUUAGUCAAGGUAGAUGUAGCCCUGGGCUAUAUGUAUCUUUUAUUUAUGUUUAAGAAUGUUAGAAACUGUUAUGAAGGAAUGUUAAAAAUGUUUAAAUGUAUAAUGCCAAUAUGUAAUUCAUUUUUCCAAUGGCCUGUAUUAUUUUUGUUUCAAUAAUAUAUUUUUGUAAACCGUUUUAAAAAUGUGACCUCUGAACCGGAACGGAAGACGCACGCGAGGAGAGAGAGCGAACGAAGGAGAAGGAGAAGGAUAGCGCGGACGGCUAGUCCGGGCUCGAUCUUUAUUUCCAUGACAUAGUUAGAAUCUUUGUCUAGGCUAUGAGAGAGGAUUUGGACUGGUAAAGUUGUCGGACAGAUAACUACAUUAUCGGUGCUGUAUGGUUUGGACGGUAAAGAGACUUCACCAGCGUGAGUAGCUCUUCCUGCUAAGUUAGCACAGAGUUCACAGGCGAGGCGGCGUUUCAUCG